rnacentral:rRNA from 1 species
AAGUCGUAACAAGGUUUCCGUAGGUGAACCUGCGGAAGGAUCAUUGUCGAAUCCUGCAUGGCAGAACAACCCGCGAACAAGUCAAACUACCGGCGUCAUAUGGAUCAAAGCCUUUGUUUUGGGUCAUGUGAAGCCUUGUUGACGUGUGCCUGUGUUUGCCCUUCUGGGGAGUCACGGAUAUCAUGUCGACAUAAUAACAACCCCCGGCACAACCCGUGCCAAGGAAAACUAAACUUAAAGGGCUCGUGCUUUGGCGCCCCGUUCGCGGUGUGCGCAUUGUGCGUGGCUUCUUUGUAAACGAAAACGACUCUCGGCAACGGAUAUCUCGGCUCACGCAUCGAUGAAGAACGUAGCAAAAUGCGAUACUUGGUGUGAAUUGCAGAAUCCCGUGAACCAUCGAGUUUUUGAACGCAAGUUGCGCCCGAAGCCAUCUGGUUGAGGGCACGUCUGCCUGGGCGUCACGCAUCAUGUCGCCCCACCAACCAUCUCUUCAUGUGGUGUGUUGGUUGGGGCGGAGACUGGUCUCCUGUGCCCAUGGCGCGGUUGGCCUAAAUAGAUGUCUCCUCAUGAGAGACGCACGACUAGUGGUGGUUGAUUACACAGUCGUCUCGCAUCGUGCGUUUUGAAUCAUGAGGUGAUAUCUUAACAAACCCUGAUCCGUGGUCUCUUGACUGACGCCUCGAUCGCGACCCCAGGUCAGGCGGGACUACCCGCUGAGUUUAA